UAGGGAAUCUUCCACAAUGGGCGCAAGCCUGAUGGAGCAACACCGCGUGAGUGAAGAAGGGUUUCGGCUCGUCAAGCUCUGUUGUUGGAGAAGAACGUGCGUGAGAGUAACUGUUCACGCAGUGACGGUAUCCAACCAGAAAGUCAGUUCUAACUCCGUGCCAGCAGCCGAGGUAAUACGUAGGUGGCAAGCGUUAUCCGGAUUUAUUGGGCGUAAAGCGAGAGCAGGCGGUUGCUUAGGUCUGAUGUGAAAGCCUUCGGCUUAACCGAAGAAGUGCAUCGGAAACCGGGCGACUUGAGUGCAGAAGAGGACAGUGGAACUCCAUGUGUAGCGGUGGAAUGCGUAGAUAUAUGGAAGAACACCAGUGGCGAAGGCGGCUGUCUGGUCUGCAACUGACGCUGAGGCUCGAAAGCAUGGGUAGCGAACAGG
rnacentral:rRNA from 1 species